UACAGAGGGGGCAAGCGUUAUUCGGAAUUAUUGGGCGUAAAGGGCGCGUAGGCGCCUGGCAAGUGGAUGGUGAAAUCCCUCGGCUUAACCGAGGAACUGCCAUCCAGACUGCUUGGCUUGAGACCGGGAGAGGUGAGUGGAAUUCCCAGUGUAGCGGUGAAAUGCGUAGAUAUUGGGAGGAACACCUAUGGCGAAGGCAGCUCGCUGGGACGUUACUGACGCUGAGACGCGAAAGCGUGGGGAGCAAACAGG
rnacentral:rRNA from 1 species